rnacentral:lncRNA from 1 species
AUCCUUAAGACCAAAACAUGAUUAUUUUCACAACAAAUCCCUAUACCCAAUGAACCGAAUUCAAAAAAUCCUGAUACAAUCCACACAUGCUAAAAUUUCACAAGAAUAACACAUUAUAUUUUCAUUAUUUUCAAUUAAGUCCCUAAACUAAAUAAUCAUACAAAAUCACAUAUCAAAAUAUUUCCAUUUAACACCCAAACAUAGUAAUCUAACAUUAACUUCCAAAAACAUAACAAACUCAUCAAUGAC